rnacentral:misc_RNA from 1 species
UUCAACUUUUUAACAGAAGCACCUUGCUUUCCACCUUCAACUGAUCUUUUUUUGGUUUCAUCCAGGUCCCCCUCUUUGGCAUCUCCUUCAGUUUUUUCAGAAUCUGAGAGCAAACCACCUGCCUUCUCUAAGCGUUCCUCCAAAGAAUCUUCAAGAAGCCCCCAAUGUAUUUCUUUCUUAUUUAUCUGAUUAGCUGCAUCCUGGCUGUUUCCAAUUAGUGUUACAACCUCAGCAUCAUCUGAAAUUGAGCUGGGCUGUCCAGGAGAUACUUGGAAAUUAAUAUGAUCAUUAACAAUCCCAAGCAUCAUAGUAGAUUUUGUAUUGCGUAGAUACUGCAUCAGAAGCUCAUUGGAGUACUGACAUAUCUUUAUGUUGACUUUGCUCUGCCUAAGAGUAUGAGCAAAUUCCAUUUCCUCCAAGUGUGAGGGAGAAAGAACUCCUUCCAACUUUUGAAGGUCACGUAAGUGCAUCAUUUCGUGAUCUUCACGAAAGCUGUUGAAAAAUGUUCUAGCCUCUUGCAUAUGCCCUUUUGCUACCAGAUCCAUAUAACAAUGUACAAAUACUGGAUAAAGCACACGAAGC